rnacentral:rRNA from 1 species
UACGUAGGGGGCUAGCGUUGUCCGGAUUUAUUGGGCGUAAAGAGCGUGUAGGCGGCCAUGUAGGUCCGGUGUGAAAACUCGAGGCUUAACCUCGAGAUGUCAUCGGAAACCAUUUGGCUAGAGUCCGGAAGAGGAGAGUGGAAUUCCUGGUAUAGCGGUGAAAUGCGCAGAUAUCAGGAAGAACACCAAUGGCGAAAGCAGCUCUCUGGGACGGUACUGACGCUGAGACGCGAAAGCGUGGGGAGCGAACAGG